GACGAACGCUGGCGGCGUGGAUUAGGCAUGCAAGUCGAACGGUAGGAUACCUUCGGGUAUCUGAGAGUGGCGAACGGGUGAGUAACACGUAGGUGAUCUACCCUCAAGAUUGGGACAACCCAGGGAAACUUGGGCUAAUACCGGAUGAAAGCAGCAGUGAUGUUGUUUGAAAGGUGGCGUAAGCUGCCGUUUGGGGAUGAGCCUGCGCUCUAUUAGUUAGUUGGCGGGGUAAAGGCCCACCAAGGCGAUGAUAGAUAGGCGGCCUUAACGGGUGGUCGCCCACACUGGGAUUGAGAUACGGCCCAGACUCCUACGGGAGGCAGCAGUCGAGAAUAGUCUACAAUGGCCGAAAGGCUGAUAGUGCGACGCCGCGUGAACGAAGAAGCCCUUCGGGUGUAAGUCUUUUAUAUGUGAGCAGUGCUUUCUAUGUGAACAGCAUGGGGAGAGAGAUAUUAGCAUAUGAAUAAGCAACGGCUAACUCCGUGCCAGC
rnacentral:rRNA from 1 species